rnacentral:rRNA from 1 species
ACGUAGGACCCGAGCGUUGUCCGGAUUUACUGGGUCUAAAGGGUGCGUAGGCGGCCUUGUGCGUCAGAGGUGAAAUAUCCGGGCUUAACCCGGAGGGUGCCUUUGAUACGGCGAGGCUUGAGUGCGAGAGAGGAUGAUGGAAUUCCUGGUGUAGCGGUGAAAUGCGUAGAUAUCAGGAGGAACACCGGUGGCGAAGGCGGUCAUCUGGCUCGUAACUGACGCUGAGGCACGAAAGCGUGGGGAUCAAACAGGAUUAGAUACCCUGGUAGUCCGCGCCCUAAACGAUGUAUGCUUGGUGUUGGGUCCGCAAGGACUCAGUGCCGUAGGGAAGCUGAUAAGCAUACCACCUGGGGAGUACGAUCGCAAGGUUG